GUCGCGUCAUAGCAGUGUGGGCGGAGUCGGCGCCCCUCAUUGGAAAAGCAUGGUGUAGACUCAGAAUGGACUAAAUAAAAUCAUUUCUGCCGCUCGACAGAGCAACAUACGAACAUACAAAAACUGAGCCGUAUUGGGUCGGACAGUCCGUACGGUAUCUGUGACUGGACAAACGACCCAGCGGAAUUGACAAAGGUGUCGUUUGCCAACAUUUUCUGUUACCUAAUGGAGCAAGAGACCGCUUACUACAAGCCAAUACGAGAACGAUACGGCUUGUGAAAAGUAAACAUUUGACGUUUUGUUUUGCUUAAUUUUAAUAAAGUGAUAAAGACGUGAGUAAAAGCCUGUCGUACUUUAUUAUUGAUAUUUUAAAAAUAUUUGUAACAUUGAAAAAACAGGUCUACUGAAGUGCCUUGAAAUGCGCAGCGUUAUUCUAUCUAUGUAGUGUGUGCUGCAGCUGCCUAAUCAUUUUCAUAAAUACAUGCUGUAAAAUAAAUAUAUAACAUGAAAAUUUGUAUAUAAAACACGAAAAACAUGGUUAUUGGUUACUAGUUAAACCAUGGUAAAACAAUGUUUUGCCACAGUUUAACCAUGGUAUUUGUAGUAAAACUGUGGUUAUAGGCUAUAAUUGGUAAUAAAAAUGCCAGUCUUUAGUAAACCUGGCUAUUCUACUAUACAUUUACUAUAGUAAUACCAUGGAUAAUUUUCAUAAGGGAUUGUGUAUAAUGAUACGAAAUAAAUGUUUUAAUUGAUUAUGACAUCACAAAAUAUCAGGGAGCGAGAUCUAUUUGAUUGUGAUGUGAAGGAGCGUCACUGUAAGCCGUGCAGGGGACAGGACUAAUGACAGUAGUGUAGCCUAUCUGUGCUACCCGCUCAGUGCUACCUCCGGUCCUCCGUCUGUUUAUCAGUCAUAUACAUCUUCAGAUCAGUUUUUUUUUUUUUUUGUUUUCUUUUUGUUCCGCCGCUGAUCCAAUGGCCAGCGGUACCCACAUUUUCAAUAAAAGAGCAAUUUCCCUUUCCUCCGAGUUACAAGGCUCCUGGGGCAUAUGGCAUACGUAGCCGCAGUCACACCGUUCGGAUUGCUUUAUAUGAGACCACUUCAGCACUGGUUACACUCCCGAGUCCUGAGAUGGGCAUGGUCAGACAUUGCUUCUCUACGGGCCGGGGUGCCCUUAGAACAAGUGUCCCGGCAUGUCGUUGUCAUGACAGAUGCCUCCAGCACAGGCUGGGGCACUUGCUGAGCCAUUCCCCCUCACACGGGGAUGCGAGCGCCUUUAUUCUCCCAGUAGAUUUCCCCUGUUGGCGUACCCUGGUCGAGCAUCUUCCAGCACCCUCGGCAGUCAGACUUGGCUGAGCAGUCUGGUGCCAGGCUCAGUACUGGUGUUAGCAUGCCCGGAGUUCUGGUCAGCCCCUGUACUGGGCUAGGUGUCCAUAUGGCUUAAUUCCCUAUGGGUAAUCCCAUAUGUGUAUUCUUCCAUGGUAAGGUUUCCCUCUUGGUAAACCCAUGUCUUCCCUUGACAGACCCGCUCUGUCAGUCUCUUCUGGCAGCUGUUCCAUUCCUACUCUAAGGUAGGACCUGCCUCAGAGACCCAUUCCAUAUGUAGUACUGCCCCCUGGGUCAGUCCAUAUCAGUAUCUCCACAUGUCACCUCCCUAUGGGUAGGGUGUGGUCUCCGUAGCGACCUUUUCCUUAAGGGUCGCUUCCCCAUCAUUCUGCCAAGCUGAAAGAACAAAUAGGAAAGAUUUGAAGCAAUCUUUCACUGAAGGUUGAAAUCCCUUCCAAAUUUUUUUUUUUGUGGACGGAAGGGCAGCAUGGCCUUCUCCAGCAGCAAUGUACUCACCCUCUUGGUGCCCUUCGGUACCAAGGUCAGUGAAUUUGCGCUGGGGCUUUGGGAAGGUUACGACCUUAAGCAUAGCUUAUGUGACACGCCACGGCUUGUCGACAAUUGCAGUGCCACAGCGUUGUGACGGUGUUCAGGUUGUGGCGUUUUCCAUAGGAAAAUGUCGUUCUACAUAACUUGUAGUGACCGACAGAUAGGGAAUGUCUCGGUUACGUACGUAACCCUCGUUCCCUGAUGAAGGGAACGGAGACGUUAUGUCCCCAUGCCACAACCUUGAACCAUUCGCUGUUGCCGGGAGACGUUCUCAGCUCCUCAGCGUAAAACCUGAAGAGUGGAUGCACCUGUCGCCUAUUUCUACCCGUAGACACGGGGAGUGGCUCAGGUAUGUAAAAUCCACUAGUUAAUUUUCAUUGCCGUUUUCUCUUAAACUCAGAGAUGAUUGGCUCCCAAGUGAGACCCCAUAUGUCAUUCGACGUAACGUCUCUGUUCCCUUCAUCAGGGAAUGAGGGUUACGUACGUAACUGAGACGUUUUCUGGAAUAAAAUAUUAUUUUCUGUUGUUUUCCACUUUUUUCUUUACUUCAAAAUUUCAC
ensembl:lncRNA